UACGUAGGGUGCGAGCGUUAAUCGGAAUUACUGGGCGUAAAGCGUGCGCAGGCGGUUUUGCAAGCCGGAUGUGAAAUCCCCGGGCUCAACCCGGGAACUGCGUCCGAUACUGGCAGGCUUGAAUCCGGGAGAGGGAUGCGGAAUUCCAGGUGUAGCGGUGAAAUGCGUAGAUAUCUGGAGGAACACCGGUGGCGAAGGCGGCAUCCUGGACCGGUAUUGACGCUGAGGCGCGAAAGCCAGGGGAGCAAACGGG
rnacentral:rRNA from 1 species